CGUCUCAUCAAUUGUCUCUGAAGACACCUGUUAAAAAAGAGAUAUUCUGAGAUGAUAAUGAAGAGCCUAUAUAUGUUGCGUUUAUUGUGAAUUUAUCAAGUGUGGAAAGAGCAAGUGUUUAAGUACAAACAUAUUUACAAUUUCUAAUCUGAAAAGAUGAAAAGCCGCUUGAUUUGUCUUCUGAUGGUCGUCAUGGUACUGACUGUCUUCAUUGCCGUUUCUCAAGCUGGUCUUUGUAAUAUAGUGUGUGAAACAGAGUGUGAUGAGAGUGGGGAAGUUUGCAAGAAGAAAUGCACUCUUCACUGCGUAGACUUUGUAUCAAAUAUUGUUUAUGAAGUCCCGUAUGAAGAAUAAAGAUAAAAGAAAUAACAUGGAAAAAAUUAUGACCAGUUGAUAUAUAGAAAAAAAAUAUUCAAUUUUCCUUUAACAGUCUUGAUUGAAUAGAAUAUUUAAUGAAUAAAAUUUUUUAAAUCAGA